GACGAACGCUGGCGGCGUGCUUAACACAUGCAAGUCGAACGGUGAACGAGGGAGCUUGCUCCCUCCGGAUCAGUGGCGAACGGGUGAGUAACACGUGAGCAAUCUGCCCCGAACUCUGGGAUAAGCGUUGGAAACGACGUCUAAUACCGGAUACGACGCGGGAGGGCAUCCUCUCCGCGUGGAAAGAACUUCGGUUCGGGAUGAGCACGCUGCCUCUCAGCUUGUUGGUGAGGUAACGGCUCACCAAGGCGACGACGGGUAGCCGGCCUGAGAGGGUGACCGGCCACACUGGGACUGAGACACGGCCCAGACUCAUACGGGAGGCAGCAGUGGGGAAUAUUGCACGAUGGGCGCAAGCCUGAUGCAGCAACGCCGCGUGGGGGACGACGGCCUUCGGGUUGUAAACCUCUUUUAGCAGGAAAGAAGCGAAAGUGACGGUACCUGCAGAGAAAGCACCGGCUAACUACGUG
rnacentral:rRNA from 1 species